rnacentral:rRNA from 1 species
GUGGGGAAUCUUGCGCAAUGGGCGAAAGCCUGACGCAGCCAUGCCGCGUGAAUGAUGAAGGUCUUAGGAUUGUAAAAUUCUUUCACCGGGGACGAUAAUGACGGUACCCGGAGAAGAAGCUCCGGCUAACUUCGUGCCAGCAGCCGCGGUAAUACGAAGGGGGCUAGCGUUGCUCGGAAUUACUGGGCGUAAAGGGCGCGUAGGCGGACAGCUUAGUCAGAGGUGAAAGCCCAGGGCUCAACCUUGGAAUUGCCUUUGAUACUGGCUGUCUUGAGUUUGGGAGAGGUGGGUGGAACUCCGAGUGUAGAGGUGAAAUUCGUAGAUAUUCGGAAGAACACCAGUGGCGAAGGCGACUCACUGGCCCAAUACUGACGCUGAGGCGCGAAAGCGUGGGGAGCAAACAGGAUUAGAUACCCUAGUAGUCC